AGCGAACGCUGGCGGCAGGCUUAACACAUGCAAGUCGAGCGGGCGUAGCAAUACGUCAGCGGCAGACGGGUGAGUAACGCGUGGGAACAUACCUUUUGGUUCGGAACAACACAGGGAAACUUGUGCUAAUACCGGAUAAGCCCUUACGGGGAAAGAUUUAUCGCCGAAAGAUUGGCCCGCGUCUGAUUAGCUAGUUGGUGAGGUAACGGCUCACCAAGGCGACGAUCAGUAGCNGGUCUGAGAGGAUGAUCAGCCACACUGGGACUGAGACACGGCCCAGACUCCUACGGGAGGCAGCAGUGGGGAAUAUUGGACAAUGGGGGAAACCCUGAUCCAGCCAUGCCGCGUGAGUGAUGAAGGCCUUAGGGUUGUAAAGCUCUUUCGGCGGGGAAGAUAAUGACGGUACCCGCAUAAGAAGCCCCGGCUAACUUCGUGCCAGCAGCCGCGGU
rnacentral:rRNA from 1 species